UAGGCGCCCUCCGUGUCAGAAAGCCAAACUGCGUCGAGCGCCUAUAGGCGCUCUCAGUAUCACAAACGAAAAAUUUCUAAACGCCUAUAGGUGUCCACAGUAGCCUAGGGAUUAAAUGAGACAGGAAAUCGGAACUCGGAAAACCUACCUCCGAGAACACAGGCGUCCUACCGGGUUGGUCUUGUAGAAACUCAAGACCCGCCGUCCUACAAAGAAAUUGUAAAAGUGAUAGCUGACUUGUGCAUCCAUUAUACACAAAGGGAGAUACCCAUUGCGAGAAUUACAAGAGUAUAGCGCUACUAAGCGCAGGCUACAAGAUUUUAGCAAACAUAAUAUGUGACAGGAUCCAUCCAUAUCUCGAGAUGAUCAUUAGCAGUGUACGAUUCUAUUAAGAGAGAUGAACUUUAUGCAACAAUGACAGAAUUUGGAAUACCAAAAGAACUGAUAAGAAUGACUAGGAUGAUAAUAUAUUGCGUCCGAGAAAGAGUGAAAGUGGAGGGAGACACCUCACGAGAAUUUGAGAUCACAAGAGACCUCAAGCAGAGAGAUGGCUUAUCCUGCAUCGAUAUAACCUUUGAAAAAAUGGUACGGAUCAGAAUGUUGGACACUCACAUAGACGGAUGAAAGAAAUCUAAGAAGUGCCCCGAGAAGAUUUUUCUCUCAAAUCUUAAAAAAUAUCUGCGGCCUUGUAUGUGAGGAGGGGGGUGAAUGGAAAAAGAGGUACAAUGAGAAACUCUAUGAAAUAUAUAAGGACCUAAACGUCGUUAAAUAUAUCACUCUUGCGAGGUUGAGGUACAUUGGACAUAUCUAUAGAAGAUCUGAUGAUGAACUGAUUAAGCGAGACCUAAAACCAUAGAAACCAGAGAGCAACAGAAAAAAAGGGCAAACCGAAAAUGCACUGGUAUUGUCGGAGAUAUGUGUAGAUUGCAAAUAUCCAAUAUCCAAUUAGAAGCAAAAGAACAAGGACCGCUGGAGCGAGUCGAGACUCAUCCCAUCCCAGGUUAUAGCGCUAAUGAUAAUGAUGAUGAUUGCUCCUUCGAAUUAGUACUUAUUCCGAUCUUUGCAAAACUUCCUUAAUGGUAAAACAUUCACUUUAUUGAAGGACUGUAAAAACCACUUUCAGCCACUUCCUCGCUAAGAAAACGCUCAAGUUUUACGUGCGAGGAAUUAUG